GACGAACGCUGGCGGCGUGCUUAACACAUGCAAGUCGAACGGAAAGGCCCUGCUUUUGUGGGGUGCUCGAGUGGCGAACGGGUGAGUAACACGUGAGUAACCUGCCCUUGACUUUGGGAUAACUUCAGGAAACUGGGGCUAAUACCGGAUAGGAGCUCCUGCUGCAUGGUGGGGGUUGGAAAGUUUCGGCGGUUGGGGAUGGACUCGCGGCUUAUCAGCUUGUUGGUGGGGUAGUGGCUUACCAAGGCUUUGACGGGUAGCCGGCCUGAGAGGGUGACCGGCGACAAGGGGACUGAGAGAGGGAGCAGACGCGGACGGGAGGCAGGGGGGGGCAGUCGUGCGGAAGGGGUUGGCGUCAGAAGCGGCGGUGCCGGGCGCGGGAGAACGGGUUUCGGGGGGGGAACAGAGUUCGCCUGUGACGUAGCGGGAGGGACGGUAAUGAAUAAAGAAGCACCGGAUAACUACGGG
rnacentral:rRNA from 1 species